AGGAUUUUUCUUUUUGUUAGAGUGUAUGUGUCGGUUGUAGGUCUAUUUGUGUUCAUAGACCUCAAUACCAUGAGAUGGUAUUUGUUACAAGUAAUCUUUGUUGGUUAGACUUUCCUGUUGUAACUAGACAUUAGGCUCUUGUUACAAUUAUGUUUUAGAGUCCUAUUCAUAUUAUAUCUUUAGAGUUCUACUCAAAAGUAUGUCAUUGUUUCGGAUUUAAUAUAAAGAGACUGGCUGACGAUAGAUUGUUAAUUAUCUAUUGCACAAGCCUUCCUCCCCAAUCUCUAUCUCUCUUGCUCUCCUUUCUUCUUCUUUGGUUCUGGUUUAGCUUUCUUUACACUUUGUAAAUAAUCAAUCGUUUAUGUAGAUUGAUUCAAAUAUGAAUUCUUCAGAGUAUCUGCUCCUCCCCAGACCCCGUAGUCGUGGGGGCCUUGUGCACUGGGAGAAGAACGAACAAAUUGAACUCGAACAACAUGAAAGCUUAAAUUUUACUGAAGAAAUAUUAAGUCAUCAUUUGCGAGGCAAUUAGGUGAACAAAUGAUACUUGCCAAGGCUUGUGUCAUUCUUCCACAUUGUCUCAGAUAAGAUGAGCUAUGGAGCAAUGCAGGCAUGGUUUCUUGGUAACGACUUCAAAGACUGUACCAGCUCUCUUGGUUGAAUGUCUUACUCUCCAGUUCUAAGGCAGCUCCAGUAUGCAGAGGCAAGGGCUUACUACUUUAAUGAUCCUCAAGACUCAAAAGGUGAAUACUAAGUAUAUAUCUUUCGUGAAUCAACUCUGCUUUUACAUCCCAGAAAUACAUCCCUUACUGGAGAAGGUGGUAUUUCUGGAUGAUGAUGUUGUUGGCCAGAAGGAUCUGCCCCCACUUUUCUCUUUGGAUUUGCAUGGGAAUGUGAAUGGAGACGUGGAGACUAGCCUUGAGGAUUUUCCAUCGUUUUUACAAAUCAUACACAAUCAUUUCUCCAAGAAUGCGUCACAAGUUAAAGCUCAGUAGGCUUCUCUUCUGGAUCAAUUUGGUCUCAUCUUCAGUACAAUCAGCAUUUUAGCAUGCUCAGCUUCUCAAUCAAUUGCCAGGUUCUUGUAGAGUCAAAAUGAAAGUCUUGCUUUAUUAGAAGCAUUUCCUUUUCUUUUUAUUUCAGAAGGAAAACAAAAAUGAAAAUAAAAAUCGUAUACAUUAGGAAAAAUGAAGGCAUUAGGUCUAAGGGUUGUAGAGGAUUCAUUUUUCGUUGAUGGGUUUCACUUCUACAAGGUUUUAGGACUAUUUGUUGUGUAGAAAAUUUGUGACUAGCUCCAAUCCAGAACUGCGAGCACACAGAAUCAAUUUGUCGGCAAAUUGUUUGAGGGAAUGAAUGCAAAGCAUGACAUGAGGUACGAG